CGGACGGGUGAGUAACGCGUGGAUAACCUGCCGUAUACUGGGGGAUAACACUUAGAAAUAGGUGCUAAUACCGCAUAAGCGCACAGUCUCGCAUGAGACGGUGUGAAAAACUCCGGUGGUAUACGAUGGAUCCGCGUCUGAUUAGCUGGUUGGCGGGGUAAAGGCCCACCAAGGCGACGAUCAGUAGCCGGCCUGAGAGGGUGGACGGCCACAUUGGGACUGAGACACGGCCCAAACUCCUACGGAAGGCAGCAG
rnacentral:rRNA from 1 species